UACGUAGGGCGCAAGCGUUGUCCGGAAUUAUUGGGCGUAAAGAGCUCGUAGGCGGUCUGUCGCGUCUGGUGUGAAAUCCCAUGGCUCAACUGUGGGCUUGCAUCGGGUACGGGCAGACUAGAGUGCUGUAGGGGAGACUGGAAUUCCUGGUGUAGCGGUGGAAUGCGCAGAUAUCAGGAGGAACACCGGUGGCGAAGGCGGUUCUCUGGGCAUGUCCUGACGCUGAGGAGCGAAAGUGUGGGGAGCGAACAGG
rnacentral:rRNA from 1 species